rnacentral:rRNA from 1 species
AUUGAUUAUGAGGUGCUUGCACUGAAUGAGAUUUUAACACGAAGUGAGUGGCGGACGGGUGAGUAACACGUGGGUAACCUGCCCAGAAGCAGGGGAUAACACCUGGAAACAGAUGCUAAUACCGUAUAACAGAGAAAACCGCCUGGUUUUCUUUUAAAAGAUGGCUCUGCUAUCACUUCUGGAUGGACCCGCGGCGCAUUAGCUAGUUGGUGAGGUAACGGCUCACCAAGGCGAUGAUGCGUAGCCGACCUGAGAGGGUAAUCGGCCACAUUGGGACUGAGACACGGCCCAGACUCCUACGGGAGGCAGCAGUAGGGAAUCUUCCACAAUGGACGCAAGUCUGAUGGAGCAACGCCGCGUGAGUGAAGAAGGGUUUCGGCUCGUAAAGCUCUGUUGUUAAAGAAGAACGUGGGUGAGAGUAACUGUUCACCCAGUGACGGUAUUUAACCAGAAAGCCACGGCUAACUACGUGCCAGCAGCCGCGGUAAUACGUAGGUGGCAAGCGUUAUCCGGAUUUAUUGGGCGUAAAGCGAGCGCAGGCGGUCUUUUAAGUCUAAUGUGAAAGCCUUCGGCUCAACCGAAGAAGUGCAUUGGAAACUGGGAGACUUGAGUGCAGAAGAGGACAGUGGAACUCCAUGU